rnacentral:tRNA from 1 species
GGGGCCUUAGCUCAGUUAGUAGAGCGCCUGCUUUGCAAGCAGGAUGUCAGGAGUUCGAAUCUCCUAGGCUCCA